GGCCGCACACCUGAGCACCUGCGGGGCCCGCGGAGCUUCUUGCGUUUGUUCGGUGAUGGAGCCUGAUGUCAGGUCAACGAACAGAAAUGCUGCUAGAUCUGUGUUUCCGGCGUGUUUCAUUAAAACAGUUAGUUCUGGGUCAAUAAAAAGUCAAAGUUUAAUUAAGUGGCGUCAUUGACCUCAUUUAUUAAAUCACCUGCCACCUACAGCCCUGAAACUCAGUGGGUGGGAGAGCAACAGUGAAAUCAACCAACGCCGAAUGCUGAGUGGAAGUGCUUUCUGCACCUUAUUCACACAAGGCUAUUCAACCUGUCUGGAUCUGUGGAGGUGCAGUCGGGACAUGCAUCCUUGAUUUUCCAUGGGCCUGCUUAUGCUGUUCCCAGGGACAAAUACCAAGACAAACAUCAACUGCUGCUGGAAGACUGGAAGAUCAUCAACUGCGUGAAAGACGCAUUUUGGUAUACGGGAAACUUGAUGGUAUUCCAGUGCAGAGAGAUGUUCGUAAGCAAAGCUGCCAGCUGGUGCAUUCCAGGAUGCAGGACUACAUGUUGAGGGAUGCACUGUUGUGAAGGACCACAGUUUGGGGCCUUGCUGCCACUGAACACCAAAGUGCUGGGUCCUGUGUAACAACCUCUCAAACACUUAAAGGGUUCAUUGUUUAACAUGAGUGGCAUUGCUGCUUUGUAAGAGUAUGUAUUGAUUUGAUGGCACAAUGAAUGUAAAGAAAGAUAUGCACUGAUUGCAUUGCAUUUCUUGUAUAUAUUUUUAUGGAUAAAGUAUACUUUUGAAAUUAAAAAGAAA